AUUGAACGCUGGCGGCAGGCCUAACACAUGCAAGUCGAACGCGUGGCGGACGGGUGAGUAAUGUCUGGGUAACUGCCCGAGGGAGGGGGAUAACUACUGGAAACGGUAGCUAAUACCGCAUACCAUCGGAUGUGCCCCGAUGGGAUGAGCGAGGGGGUGGGGUAACGGCUCACCUAGGCGCCGAUCCCUAGCUGGUCUGAGAGUAUGACCAGCCACACUGGAAAUGAGACACGGUCCAGACUCCUACGGGAGGCAGCAGUGGGGAAUAUUGCACAAUGGGCGCAAGCCUGAUGCAGCCAUGCCGCGUGUAUGAAGAAGGCCUUCGGGUUGUAAAGUACUUUCAGCGAGGAGGCGUUACUCGCAGAAGAAGCACCGGCUAACUCCGUGCCAGCAGCCGCGGUAAUAC
rnacentral:rRNA from 1 species